GACAAACACUGCAAGAUUCCACUUAAUGUGAGGUACCGGAGCAGUCAGGUUCCUAGAGACAGAAAAUAGAAUGGUAGUUGCUGGGGGCUGGGGAAGGCAGGAAUGGGGAGUGGUCGUUUAAUGAGCACAGAGUUUCUAGUUGAGAAGAUGAAGGGAGUUCUGGAGAUGGAUCAUGGUGCUGGUUGCACAACAAUGUGAAUGUUCUUAAUGCCGCUAAACUUCAGCUUAAAAAUGGUUAAAAUGGUAAAUUUUAUGUUAUGUGUAUUUUAACCAAUUUUUAUAAACAAAGAACAUCCUAGCUGCCAGGUGGAGAACAGAUUAGAAGGAAGGUUAGAUCAUGAAGAACAGAACCAGACAUGAUGCUUUCAGGAGUGCAGGAGGAGGAGGCCCUUCCCAGGCAGCACCCCCUUCGUCCUCUGUGUCCCUAACGAAGGCCUGAGGUGUGUCAUGGUGGCCACGCUCUCCCGGGAUGUUUUUGCUAGGGAGUAUCUGAGGCUGGUCCCCGACCGUGAGGCAGUAGUAAUCGUCUCAGUCAUUGGCUUUCUGUGCAGCCAGCAGCAGGCCCUAAACAGAACCCCAGACAUUUCAUGUUCACGUUUAGAGAAGAAGGCCUUUUUACUGCCUUCUACUGAACCAGCCACUCAUGGUACUUGCCAAUCUCCACGGCCUCUGCUGAACAUUCUCUCUGAUGGCCCCAGUCAGGGACACUGGAGGACGGGAGGCUGUGCUCUGGUGCACACCCUCACACUUCUGCUUUCACCUGUUGGACUGUCUUCUAACCAAAAGUCUGUUGUGUUUGUCCCCAUGCCUGUUCUUGCCAUCAUAUUUGACUUUAUAAUUGCUAAAUUUAAUUAAAUAGUACAUAAACCAUUAAAAUGUGAGUGCAAAAAAAACUAUAAAGACUAAGUUGUAAAUUUCAAUAACAAUGAGUCCCUGAAAAUUAAGGCUACUGAAAUGGAUAUAGUGAGAUAACUAUAAAAGCCUGGGGGGAGGGGAAUCUAGGUGAUUCUGCAUUCAUAUAGGUCCCCAAAUGUCUUUAAUUUCUUAUACCAUGGUAAUGUAUAGAUGUGAUUAUGCACAAGAUAAUGUGGAAGUCCGGGCAGCAGACUUACUCUGGAAGAAAAGUUUGAUUCUAAAUUGAAAGACAGGAAAGUAAAUGUAACUGUAUUCUCAAAGUAAAAAUAAAUAUUUAAAAUGUUUUUUUUUUAAAUCACUGGUUUCAAGUUAGUUGCACAAGAGAGAUUUAUUUUAAAAAGUAUGUUAACAUUCCCAUGUGUGGAUGUAUCAUAAUUUAGUAAACCUGUAAUUAAUUUUUGCUCCAUUAUACUAUUUGUAAGUUUUUUAAAAAUAGUACUACACCGAACACUUUUCAUACAUGCGGUUUUUUGCUUGUUGAAUUUUAGGAUAAUAUUAGAGUAGGCACGAUUUCUUCUUCCAAGGAUAUAAAUACCUUUCUAGAUUGUGGUAAGUACUACCUUUUUGCUUUCCAAAAGAGUAAUAGUUUCAUCUUCUUAACAGUAGUCUAGUGGGUUAUGUUUUGGUUAUCUAUUAUUACAUAACAAUCUAACUUUAUAGCUUAAAGCAACCACUGACUGGUCAAGGUGGCUCGCACUUGUCAUCUCAGUACUUUGGGAGGCCAAGGCAGGAAGAUGGCUUGAGGCUAGCCCUAGUAACAUCGUGAGACCUCGUCUCUAUUUUUUUAAAAAGCGACCACCGUUCCAUUAAUUCUUAUGUUUACAAAGAUUGAUCAGGGCUCAGCUUGGAAGGUUGGUUCUUCUGCUGCGUCUUAGGCUGGGCUUGCUUGGCACUGCUCAUUCAGCUGCAGGCUGAAAGCACUUGGGCACAUCCUGAGUCUCUGGCAUGACAUCUCCAGGCUCUGACAUGCUUCCAGCCUUCUGGUAAAUAAACUGCCAAGGUAAGAAUGGGAGGGAGGCAGAGAAUUCAGGAGUGUGAGAAGGACAGAUUACCUUUAAGAUCAAACCUUUCAGUCUACAUAGCUCUGCUCCCCUCCCACCUCACCCUCACCCUGGUCUCAUUCCACCUGAAGGAGGGGAGAUGAAACCAUCACAGUGCAAAAGUCAGAAGAUGGACCUGAAAACCCAAGAUAGACUUACUGGAUUUCAGGGGCAUGGAAGCCCUUAUUUAUUUCAAGAACCUUGCUUUAGGAGUCCAGAUUCCCCUUGAAGCAGUGGGAGUAGAAUACUUCUCUGCAAGCCUUUGUCUGCAUUCAUUCUGAUCCCCACAUUUGAGUGUGCAAUCAAUAAUUACUACUUUCUUUUUUAAACACGACUUCGGCAAAGCUGGAGUGUCACCAGUAUAAGAGGUGACUCGAAACAAAGACCAAAAUGUAUAAAUAGCCCCUCUGAAAGCACAACAAAGGCUGGGCUGUGACCUCCACAGAGGAAUCAAUAUUUCAAAUGAGGCUCUGUGCUUCUGGGAGCACAAUUUGAAUCACCCAGCCCAUCUCCACCCUCCUCCUCAUCAGCUUCCUCUCCACUUCCCCACUCAACACAAAAGAACAGUGCCAGAAAGCUCAACUAUCACCAGAUAAGGUAUCUGGCAGCACUGCCACGCUGUGGCUCUCAGCUGAGACCUUCUGGAAGGAACAUGACCCUCAGCAGAGGACCAUGGCAUCAGGCCUACAUUUAGGAAGUUGGCAAUGUCUUCAGAAUGUAAUUGGAAGAGUUCCAAAUGAUUAACCUGUCAAAAACUAUCUCCCCAGGUGCUGACCUGAAAUUUUUCCUGGGUGUAGAAUGCAGACAGAAGAGAAGAUAGGGGCGAGUUAUGGGUGAGAAGACAUUAAAUUGUGAGAGAGGAAAGACAGCCCUUUGUAGGGAGGCAAUUUCAGGGGCCAUCAAACAUAAACUUCACCUUCCUCUCAGCCUCGUCCAUUCUGGCCUCCGCUGUGGUCCUGCUGAAGGCUUUCUUACAGGUCAGACUCAAGGUUCAUGGUUCUUUUGUAGCAGUUCCAACAUCACCAGUUUAUAGAAACCCUGAACCUGUCCCCCCCGACAGCACUUCAUGUAAUAUUGUAUCAUAAAGCAAUAAUAAUAACAUGGUAUCUAACAUUUAGGAGACACCCUAGCUAUAUGUUAAAAUCACUAUCUUCAUUUUACAGACAAGUGUGAAACAUUUGAUAACCUGCCCAAGGUAACAGCCAGUGAAUGUCCCAAGUCCAGUUUUCCCUGAUAGCAAAGCCCAAGCUCUUUCCCAUGUUGUCAGGGAGCUGCUGUUCAGGAAACAUGCCGACGGGAGGCAGGCCGGGAGGACCCUCAGGCCUGGGAGAGCUGCUUAGUGUCCACCCCUCUAAGAACGCCAUAUGCACAUCCUGUUGUUUGAGUUUGUCUGUUUUCCUAGAGAAGAGCAGCAGAAAUGGCAGCCACUUGGCAGUGCAAGUAGGUGCCACCUAGGGCAUACUGCCAAAACUUGAGCUUUCUUGAAGCAAUAUUCUACAAGGAAUGUUGUGUACUUCAUUUUCCUCCUCAUGUGCUUCAGACUCUGGACAGCAGUGAUCAGAGCUGGACCAUCAGUUUCAGUUGUGGAUUACUACUGAUACUCCGCAGACUCUGGACAGCAGUGAUCAGAGCUGGACCAUCAGUUUCAGUUGUGGAUUACCACUGAUACUCAACAGACUCCGGACAGCAGUGAUCAGAGCUGGACCAUCAGUUUCAGUUGUGGAUUACCACUGAUACUCCGCAGACUCCAGACAGCAGUGAUCAGAGCUGGACCAUCAGUUUCAGUUGUGGAUUACCACUGAUACUCCGCAGACUCCAGACAGCAGUGAUCAGAGCUGGACCAUCAGUUUCAGUUGUGGAUUACCACUGAUACUCCGCAGAGAUCUUUAGCCGUCACCCUAGAUCAAUCAUGUUCAACCAAAGCUUUCAUUAUCCUAAUCAUAAAAGUCACAGAGCCCUUUUUCCCUUUUUAUUUUUUUGAGACAGGGUCUUGCUGUCACCCGGGCUGAAGUGCAGUGGC